AUCGCUCGCCGCGCCCCGCGCCCGUCCCGCCGCCCCCGCCCGCCCUACGGGGCGCAGCAGGCGCGAAAACUUUACAAUGCGGGAAACCGUGAUAAGGGAACUCCGAGUGCCCGUUAAAUCGGGCUGUCCAUCUGCUUAAAACACAGGUGAAGAAAGGGCCGGGCAAGACCGGUGCCAGCCGCCGCGGUAAUACCGGCGGCUCGAGUGGU
rnacentral:rRNA from 1 species